rnacentral:rRNA from 1 species
AUUGAACGCUGGCGGCAGGCUUAACACAUGCAAGUCGAGCGGAGCGAGGGUGCUUGCACCUUAGCUUAGCGGCGGACGGGUGAGUAAUGCUUAGGAAUCUGCCUAUUAGUGGGGGACAACAUUCCGAAAGGAAUGCUAAUACCGCAUACGCCCUACGGGGGAAAGCAGGGGAUCCUCGGACCUUGCGCUAAUAGAUGAGCCUAAGUCGGAUUAGCUAGUUGGUGGGGUAAAGGCCUACCAAGGCGACGAUCUGUAGCGGGUCUGAGAGGAUGAUCCGCCACACUGGGACUGAGACACGGCCCAGACUCCUACGGGAGGCAGCAGUGGGGAAUAUUGGACAAUGGGCGGAAGCCUGAUCCAGCCAUGCCGCGUGUGUGAAGAAGGCCUUUUGGUUGUAAGGCACUUUAAGCGAGGAGGAGGCUACUUAGAUUAAUACUCUGGGAUAGUGGACGUUACUCGCAGAAUAAGCACCGGCUAACUCUGUGCCAGCAGCCGCGGUAAAAC